rfam:Tursiops truncatus cont1.284460, whole genome shotgun sequence.
GAGCUGUUUGUCUUUUCCAUCUGGGCUGCGGACUGCGAUGAGAAGGUCAGGGGCACAUUCUAUGGGCAGGACACAUGCCGGACUUUGGAGGCCAACGUGCAUAGGGGGUCUAUCCAUCCUCACAAAAUAAACACUCAGCACACGUCACGCUGGGGGGCAGAAUAGCGGGUGUGCUGUCUGGAGGUCUCUUCCUGGAAUGCUGGUUGCCUAGCAACAAGAU